rnacentral:rRNA from 1 species
GAUGAACGCUGGCGGCGUGCCUAAUACAUGCCAGUCGAGCGAACGGACGAGAAGCUUGCUUCUCUGAUGUUAGCGGCGGACGGGUGAGUAACACGUGGAUAACCUACCUAUAAGACUGGGAUAACUUCGGGAAACCGUAGCUAAUACCGGAUAAUAUUUUGAACCGCAUGGUUCAAAAGUGAAAGACGGUCUUGCUGUCACUUAUAGAUGGAUCCGCGCUGCAUUAGCUAGUUGGUAAGGUAACGGCUUACCAAGGCAACGAUGCAUAGCCGACCUGAGAGGGUGAUCGGCCACACUGGAACUGAGACACGGUCCAGACUCCUACGGGAGGCAGCAGUAGGGAAUCUUCCGCAAUCGGCGAAAGCCUGGCGGAGCAACGCCGCGUGAGUGAUGAAGGUCUUCGGAUCGUAAAACUCUGUUAUUAGGGAAGAACAUAUGUGUAAGUAACUGUGCACAUCUUGACGGUACCUAAUCAGAAAGCCACGGCUAACUACGUG